CACGUAGGGCGCGAGCGUUGUCCGGAAUUAUUGGGCGUAAAGAGCUCGUAGGCGGCCUGUUGCGUCCGCUGUGAAAGCCCGGGGCUUAACCCCGGGUCGGCAGUGGAUACGGGCAGGCUAGAGGUAGGUAGGGGAGAAUGGAAUUCCUGGUGUAGCGGUGAAAUGCGCAGAUAUCAGGAGGAACACCGGUGGCGAAGGCGGGUCUCUGGGCCGAUACUGACGCUGAGGAGCGAAAGCAUGGGGAGCGAACAGG
rnacentral:rRNA from 1 species